rnacentral:rRNA from 1 species
UACGAAGGGGGCUAGCGUUGCUCGGAAUCACUGGGCGUAAAGCGCACGUAGGCGGUUUGCUAAGUCAGGGGUGAAAUCCUGGAGCUCAACUCCAGAACUGCCUUUGAUACUGGCGGACUUGAGUCCGGGAGAGGUGAGUGGAACUGCGAGUGUAGAGGUGAAAUUCGUAGAUAUUCGCAAGAACACCAGUGGCGAAGGCGGCUCACUGGCCCGGUACUGACGCUGAGGCGCGAAAGCUAGGGGAGCAAACGGG